rnacentral:rRNA from 1 species
UCGAACGGGAAGCUCGAUUUCGAUUGAGCGGAGAGUGGCGCACGGGUGAGUAACACGUAGCUGACCUGCCCCGAAGUGUGGGAUAACGCACCGAAAGGUGUGCUAAUACCGCAUAAGCUCACAAUGCUCAGAAAGUUGUGAGAAAAGCUGAGGCGCUUUGGGAUGGGGCUGCGGUCCAUCAGCUAGAUGGUGAGGUAACGGCUCACCAUGGCGACGACGGCUAGGGGACCUGAGAGGGUGACCCCCCACACUGGAACUGAGACACGGUCCAGACUCCUACGGGAGGCAGCAGUGAGGAAUAUUGCACAAUGGACGAAAGCCUGAUGCAGCGACGCCGCGUGGGUGAUGAAGGUUUUCGGAUCGUAAAGCCCUUUUCUGUGUGACGAGAAAGGACGGUAGCACAGGAAUAAGUGUCGGCUAACUACGUGCCAGCAGCCGCGGUAAAACGUAGGACGCAAACGUUAUCCGGAGUUACUGGGCGUAAAGCGCGUGCAGGCGGAUGAGCAAGUCGGUUAUGAAAGCCCCCGGCUAAACCGGGGGAGGUUGACCGAGACUGCUUAUCUAGAGUGUGAGAGAGGGGUGCGGAAUUCCGGGUGUAGUGGUGAAAUGCGUAGAUAUCCGGAGGAACACCAGUGGCGAAGGCGGCGCCCUGGCUCACAACUGACGCUCAGACGCGAAAGCGUGGGUAGCGAACGGGAUUAGAAACCCCGGUAGUCCACGCUGUAAACGAUGCACACUAGAUGUUCGCUGGCCUACGGGUGAGGGAGUAUCGAAGCAAACGCGAUAAGUGUACCGCCUGGGGAGUACGGUCGCAAGGCUAAAACUCAAAGGAAUUGACGGGGGCCCGCACAAGCAGCGGAGCGGGUGGUUUAAUUCGAGGAUACGCGAAGAACCUUACCUGGGUUAGGCAAUAGUAGUACGGAAGCGAAAGCGGAAGGACUCUUCGGAGAGCUAUCACAGGUGCUGCAUGGUUGUCGUCAGCUCGUGCCGUGAGGUGUUCGGUUAAGUCCGCAAACGAGCGCAACCCUCGGCGUUAGUUACAAGUGUCUAGCGCGACUGCCCGUGACAAACGGGAGGAAGGUGGGGAUGACGUCAAAUCAGCAUGGCCUUUAUAUCCAGGGCUACACACACGCUACAAUGGUCGGUACAAUGGGUCGCGAAGCCGCGAGGUGGAGCCAAUCCUCAAAAGCCGAUCUCAGUUCGGAUUGCAGGCUGCAACUCGCCUGCAUGAAGUCGGAGUUGCUAGUAACCGCGUAUCAGCACGGCGCGGUGAAUACGUUCCCGGGCCUUGUACACACCGCCCGUCACGUC